CCCCUCCCCCGCCGGGCCCGCCGGGCCUGGCCCAUUCGACGAAGAAUCAAGUGCAUCGUGGCCAAAUAAGUGAAAGUGCAGCAAUUUGUGUCAAAUGCAGUGCGUGCAUACGGGCCUUAUAGUGAAGUGUAGUGUUAAAGUGCUCUCAAGCUCGCCUCCGCUGGACUCACCUUCGCUGCUGCUGUGCUCUGGACCGGUGCUGGCUGUCGACUCAUGGUAGGAUGCCGACGUUGACUGUUUCUUACAGAUCUGCUCAGAUAGGAAUAACUUUUGGCUCCAUAGCGUUAUAUUGGACGCUUCUUCCUCUUGCGCUCAUCACCAGCCAGAAAUCGACGCGAUAUCGGCGUCGAUUCGAUGGGUUUGUGUCACUUAAAUCGUCGAAGUUUUGACUUCGAUGUCGAUUUGACGUCGUUUCGAGUUUGCAUUUCUGGCUGGGAUUCGCCGUGUUCGGCGGGGUUACCCAUACCAAAUGGCAUUCUCUACUUCAUUCAUAACGGACACCUUGAAACACACUACAUCACGAUAGGAAAUCCGGCACUAGUCGUAGCGUUCAAGAAGGGGCCUGCUAAAGGCGCGCAGACAAGGGUAUGGGGGGCACCAAGUCAUCAAGAUUGCCGUUGAUAACGUUCUGUUUGACGUCUUCCCUUUUAAAUCUGGAAGAGAUCAAAUGAUUGAAGAUCCAAUGUCAGGUCAGUGAACAAAUCGGUCCCAUUUUACUGUUACCGUUUGGCUUUGGCUUGUCUGUUCCCUCCCUGAUCGUAGUUGUUGUCGGCAGGCUAUCGAGCGGUCCGCCAGUAAGGACAAGAAGCUCUUUCGCGCCCUGCUCGUCACCCUGCUCGUCACCCUGCUCGUCACCCUGCUCGUCACCCUGCUCGUCACCCUGCUCGUCACCCUGCUCGUCACCCUCCCUGCUCGUCACCCUGCUCGUCACCCUGCUCGUCACCCUGCUCGUCACCCUGCUCGUCACCCUGCUCGUCACCCUGCUCGUCACCCUAUGCUCACCAGUUCGUCACUCCUCUCCGCCCCACUCGACGCCGCCCUGCCUCUGCUCACCCUCACCGUCGCCGAACCGGAAGCCAACUGUACUUUUAUGUAUCUUGCGCUUGUAUUUAUUGUAUUUGUAACGUAUCUCUGUAUUUCGGUGUAUCUCUGUAUCUCUAGUUUUUGUAUUUAUGUGCUAACGAGUUUUUCAUGCAGCCCCCUCCCCCUCGCUCGUCGUUGCCGCCAAGAAGAAGGACCCUGCCGCCGCGACUCAGCCCCCCUGCGGACAGGUCAACUUUCUAGUGGCGUGGUCCGCAGACCACAGGUACGUCUCUCAAGCUUUACUUGUUACACAUUUGGCCCGCUUGCAGUGGCCCCGGUCGUUCCCUGGCGCCGCCCCUCGGCCGUUGGUUGGCGCGCCGCGCUGGGCCUGCCCUCGCUGGACCCGCGGGUCUCCCCCGUAGGCCCCCUCCCCCCCGCGGGGCCGGCGAGUGGCAGCGCUCGGGGCAGUGCCGGCCGCGGCUGGCGGGCGUGUUUGAUUCUUAGUGACCGGAGGACCACGAGGGCAAAGUGAUGGCGUACUCCAACCGAACGUAGGCACCGAACUAAUAACUUGUUCUGUUCUUCUUCCAUGCCGCCGCUGCCCCGGCCGGGCCGUCGAUACCUCGGCCGUCCUGUUGCUGCACCAAGCUGGUCGACUCGGACGCGCCCCUGGGACACAGCGUCACCACGGCUUCGCGCGCAUCUUCUUGGGCGCCUACAAACAGAGUCUUCGUGGGAGGUGCGCCACGUCUGUUCAGCGUCCACUGCCGGCUCCGCCCCCCGCCCUGGUCUCCGCGGUCGGCGAGGACCUCCAGCACCUCUAGGUCCUACAGCACCACCGCCCCAGCCCUCGCUCGCCGACCCCGUCGCGUCCUGGUCCCCGCCCUACUACGGCUGGCACUCCGCGGGGACAAACUCAUUGCCGCCUUAAAGAAGAAUAUCCGUCGGAGGCGCGUCUGGUCGGUGCAAUGUUCGCUGCAACUGUGCUCCGCCCCGGUUGGCCUGGCCGGGAUGUCCGCGGGCGCCGCACAGCCUCGCCGCGAUCCACUGUUUCGGGAGAAGUUAAUUUGGUUUGCUGCGGAACGAGAUGUUCGUUUCUCCAAUCUCUUUUCCAGUUCCAGGACCGUCCCAGUUCCACCCCUGGCCAGCAGGCAGUCCCCGUAUACUGCGAGGACUCCAGGACCCCCAGAACUCCAGGACCCCCAGAACUCCAGGACCCCCAGAACUCCAGGACCCCCAGAACUCCAGGACCCCCAGAACUCCAGGACCCCCAGCCAGGAUCCCCAGAACUCCAGGACCUCCAGGAUAUGCUGUCUUCACUGUCAUGCGGAGAAAGGAAGGACAACCAGCGUGCAGCCCGUGUGCAGGUGACUGUCAAGAGGAAGAGAAGGACUGAAGGAGGGACCACAACCGGCAGCUAGAAGGACCUCCGCUUGUCCAGACACCCAACAUUUUACCCUGCAAUGAAUACUCUGCUGUCUCACUCUCAUCCGGAGAAAGGACCACCAGUUGGAAGGACCUUCCGGUACCCGCUCGCCCAGAAACAACAUUUUACCCUGCAAUGAACGUUGCUGGAUUCACUCUCAUCCGGUGAAAGGAAGGACCACUCGUGCAACUGUCAUGAGGAAGGAGUGGAAAAGGAAGCAGGACCACGUCGUGCAGAUGGAAGAUGGCAUUUCAACAUUGCUGUAUAACCAGAUAGAAGCCAUCUAACAUAAACGUCAAGAAGAAGAAGAAUUGUUUAAUCACAAUUUUAGUCUCAUUCAUUCAUCUCUGUUCACGCAUAGUGACUAUGGACUAUCUCUUGACGAUGCGACUUCUUCUUCCUGCCUUCUUUGUCUUGCAUCAUAGAGUAUGUUUAUGUGGUGUUGGUAAUUGUAUUGCUAUUGGUUGGGCUUUGCAUGAUUGUUGUGUUUGUAACUUUAUGUGGGGUCUAGGAAGUCUUACCUCUCUAACUUGACUGAACUUGUGGUUGGGUUUUGCAUGUUUGUGUUGUGCUAGUAAUUUUAUGUGGGGUUUAUGAAGUCUAUCUGUUUCUAUCCUCACUUGACUGAACUUGACACCAUUUCCUGCUAUUUAAAAUCAUCUGUCCAUACUUGUAUCAUAUAUCAUUUAAUCAGUGAAACGGUAAAAUUUACGCUACAAUACAUGCAAUUGUUUUAUUGGUGUUCAGAAUGUUUCAAAGUAAUUCAGUAAUUCCAUUCAGCUAUCAAUGAGCAAUGUGCAAUUUUUUUUACCCUUUUUAAAAUUAGGUGAAUCCUUUUCUUGUGUAUUACACAUGUUAUUGUGUACCUGAUAAAUAUAUAUACUGUCAGCCUUAAUCUAUUGUCUUCUGUGGAUCUGUGUGCCACAGUUUAGUGAACCUAUCAGCUUUUGAACAUUUCCAUAGAAAUAAAAACAAUUACUUUAAAGUA